ACUUCGGAAAGGAGGUGGUUCGGCAGAUGUAUGAAUACCGGACGGAAGAGGUGACUGCGGGCUAGCAGCCCGUCGUCGUACUCGGUUCGGCGCCGGACCCGCGUGUGCGCGAUGCACGCAGCCGGCCAGACCAACGCAGUCACCCGACCCGCGAGUCGCCGGUACGUCCGGCCGGCCCCUCCUCGGAGAGGACCAGACUCGCGGGUCGCCUGCG
rnacentral:sRNA from 1 species